AUUGAACGCUGGCGGCAGGCCUAACACAUGCAAGUCGAACGAGUGGCGGACGGGUGAGUAAUGUCUGGGAAACUGCAUGAUGGAGGGGGAUAACUACUGGAAACGGUAGCUAAUACCGCAUACCAUCAGAUGUGCCCAGAUGGGAUUAGCUAGUUGGUGGGGUAACGGCUCCCCAAGGCGACGCUCCCUAGCUGGGCUGAGAGGAUGACCCGCCACACUGGAACGCAGACACGGUCCAGACUCCUACGGGAGGCAGCAGUGGGGAAGAGUGCACAAUGGGCGCAAGUCUUAUGCAGCCAUGCCGCGUGUAUUAAGAAGGCCUUCGGGUUGUAAAGUACUUUCAGCGGGGAGGCGUUACCCGCAGAAGAAGCACCGGCUAACUCCGUGCCAGCAGCCGCGGUAAUUC
rnacentral:rRNA from 1 species